ACUUCAUUGCAUUUAAGUGCUUUAAAUAUAUCAAUAUGAAGAUGAGUAACACUCUCAGAGGCAGAUUUACCUCUACGAAAACCAAACUGAUUUGCUGGUAAAUGGUAGCUACCUAAGGGAUCAUUAUGUACUAUCCAAUGUGAAGCAAGAGAUAUGCAAGGGGAUGCAAUAGUAAGGUCAAGCGCAUUACUCUGCCAUCUGUGUGAUCCUACUGUAGUCGGUGUACCAUCAUUUAAGAGGACCAAGUUGUUACCAUCAA